rnacentral:rRNA from 1 species
CCGAAACGAAGUGAUCUAUCCAUGAGCAAGUUGAAGCUAGUGUAAGAACUAGUGGAGGACUGAACCCAUAGGCGUUGAAAAGCCCCGGGAUGACUUGUGGAUAGGGGUGAAAGGCCAAUCAAACUUCGUGAUAGCUGGUUCUCUCCGAAAUAUAUUUAGGUAUAGCGUUGUGUCGUAAUAUAAGGGGGUAGAGCACUGAAUGGGCUAGGGCAUACACCAAUGUACCAAACCCUAUCAAACUCCGAAUACCUUAUAUGUAAUCACAGCAGUCAGGCGGCGAGUGAUAAAAUCCGUCGUCAAGAGGGAAACAACCCAGACUACCAGCUAAGGUCCCUAAAUCUUACUUAAGUGGAAAACGAUGUGAAGUUACUUAAACAACCAGGAGGUUGGCUUAGAAGCAGCCAUCCUUUAAAGAAAGCGUAAUAGCUCACUGGUCUAGUGAUUUUGCGCGGAAAAUAUAACGGGGCUAAAGUAAGUACCGAAGCUGUAGACUUGCGCACAACUUAGAUUAUUUAAGUUUAGAAUAUGAGAAACUAAGUUAUAUGUUUAGUUAUAUUUUUACUGAUUUUUAUAGAGUAAAGAUAGAAAUAAAACUUAGUAAAAUCAGUAAAAAUAUUCUUAGACUAAAGUUAAGUAGUUUAAGUUGUGUGCAAGUGGUAGGAGAGCGUUCUAUUUGCGUCGAAGGUAUACCGGUAAGGAGUGCUGGAGCGAAUAGAAGUGAGCAUGCAGGCAUGAGUAGCGAUAAUUAAUGUGAGAAUCAUUAACGCCGUAAACCCAAGGUUUCCUACGCGAUGCUCGUCAUCGUAGGGUUAGUCGGGUCCUAAGUCGAGUCCGAAAGGGGUAGACGAUGGCAAAUUGGUUAAUAUUCCAAUACCAACAUUAGUGUGCGAUGGAAGGACGCUUAGGGCUAAGGGGGCUAGCGGAUGGAAGUGCUAGUCUAAGGUCGUAGGAGGUUAUACAGGCAAAUCCGUAUAACAAUACUCCGAGAACUGAAAGGCUUUUUGAAGUCUUCGGAUGGAUAGAAGAACCCCUGAUGCCGUCGAGCCAAGAAAAGUUUCUAAGUUUAGCUAAUGUUGCCCGUACCGUAAACCGACACAGGUGGGUGGGAUGAGUAUUCUAAGGCGCGUGGAAGAACUCUCUUUAAGGAACUCUGCAAAAUAGCACCGUAUCUUCGGUAUAAGGUGUGGUUCGCUUCGUAUUAGGAUUUACUCCGAAAGCGAAGAAACUUACAACAAAGAGUCCCUCCCGACUGUUUACCAAAAACACAGCACUCUGCUAACUCGUAAGAGGAUGUAUAGGGUGUGACGCCUGCCCGGUGCUCGAAGGUUAAUUGAUGGGGUUAGCAUUAGCGAAGCUCUUGAUCGAAGCCCGAGUAAACGGCGGCCGUAACUAUAACGGUCCUAAGGUAGCGAAAUUCCUUGUCGGUUAAAUACCGACCUGCAUGAAUGGCGUAACGAGAUGGGAGCUGUCUCAAAGAGGGAUCCAGUGAAAUUGUAGUGGAGGUGAAAAUUCCUCCUACCCGCGGCAAGACGGAAAGACCCCGUGGACCUUUACUACAGCUUGACACUGCUAUUUGGAUAAGAAUGUGCAGGAUAGGUGGGAGGCUUUGAGUAUAUGACGCCAGUUGUAUAUGAGCCAUUGUUGAGAUACCACUCUUUCUUAUUUGGGUAGCUAACCAGCUUGAGUUAUCCUCAAGUGGGACAAUGUCUGGUGGGUAGUUUGACUGGGGCGGUCGCCUCCCAAAUAAUAACGGAGGCUUACAAAGGUUGGCUCAGAACGGUUGGAAAUCGUUCGUAGAGUAUAAAGGUAUAAGCCAGCUUAACUGCAAGACAUACAAGUCAAGCAGAGACGAAAGUCGGUCUUAGUGAUCCGGUGGUUCUGUGUGGAAGGGCCAUCGCUCAAAGGAUAAAAGGUACCCCGGGGAUAACAGGCUGAUCUCCCCCAAGAGCUCACAUCGACGGGGAGGUUUGGCACCUCGAUGUCGGCUCAUCGCAUCCUGGGGCUGGAGCAGGUCCCAAGGGUAUGGCUGUUCGCCAUUUAAAGCGGUACGCGAGCUGGGUUCAGAACGUCGUGAGACAGUUCGGUCCCUAUCUGCCGUGGGCGUAAGAAGAUUGAAGAGAUUUGACCCUAGUACGAGAGGACCGGGUUGAACAAACCACUGGUGUAGCUGUUGUUCUGCCAAGAGCAUCGCAGCGUAGCUAAGUUUGGAAAGGAUAAACGCUGAAAGCAUCUAAGCGUGAAGCCAACUCUAAGAUGAAUCUUCUCUAAGCUCUCUAGAAGACUACUAGUUUGAUAGGCUGGGUGUGUAAUGGAUGAAAGUCCUUUAGCUGACCAGUACUAAUAGAGCGUUUGGCUUAUCUUUAAUAAAGCAU